GAUGAACGCUAGCUGCAGGCUUAACACAUGCAAGUCGAGGGACCGGCGCACGGGUGAGUAACACGUAUCCAACGUGACCUUUACCCGGGGAUAGCCUUUCGAAAGAAAGAUUAAUACCCGAUAUAAAGGAGGGGGAUGCGUUCCAUUAGGUUGUUGGUGAGGGAACGCCUCAGCAAGCAUUCGAUGGAUAGGGGUUCGGAGAGUAAGGCCCACUACAAUGGAAAUGCGACACAGUCCAAACCGCUACGUGAGGCAGGGGUGAGUAAUAGAGGUCAAUAAGCUCUAGCCUGACACAGCCACGUAGCGUGAAGGAUUAAGGCUUAUUAGUCGUAAACUUUUUUUAUAUAAGAAGCUGUAUUAAACGAAUAAGGAACGGCUAACUACGUGCCAGCAGCCGCGGUAAUUC
rnacentral:rRNA from 1 species